rnacentral:tRNA from 1 species
AGGGGGCUAGUCCAAACAAGACCUCUGAUUUCGACUCAGAAAACCGCAGUUAAAAUCCGCGGCCCCCUU